CUGGCGGCGUGCCUAACACAUGCAAGUCAACUUGACUGAAGGAGCAAUCUGACAGUAGAGUGGCGCAAGGGUGCGUAACGCGUAAGUAACUUGCCCAAGGUAAGGAAUAACGUCGAGAAAUCGGCGCUAAUACCUCAUAAUGCAGCGGAUCCGCAUGGAUAUGUUGUUAAAGGUUUACCGCCUUGGGAUAGGCUUGCGUCUGAUUAGCUAGUUGGUGUGGUAACGGCACACCAAGGCUACGAUCAGUAACUGGGUCUGAGAGGAUGAUCAGUCACACUGGAACUGAGACACGGUCCAGACUCCUACGGGAGGCAGCAGUGAGGAAUAUUGGGCAAUGCUCGAAAGAGUGACCCAGCAACGCCGCGUGGAGGAUGAAGGUAUUCUAUAUCGUAAACUCCUGUGAGAGCAGACGAAAGACAGAUUAUUAAUCUGGAUGACUGUAUGCUCAGAGGAAGCCCCGGCUAACUACGUG
rnacentral:rRNA from 1 species